rnacentral:rRNA from 1 species
GGUAGCACAGAGAGCUUGCUCUCGGGUGACGAGCGGCGGACGGGUGAGUAAAUGUCUGGGAAACUGCCUGAUGGAGGGGGAUAACUACUGGAAAACGGUAGCUAAUACCGCAUAACGUCGCAAGACCAAAGUGGGGGACCCUUCGGGCCUCAUGCCAUCAGAUGUGCCCAGAUGGGAUUAGCUAGUAGGUGGGGUAACCGGCUCACCUAGGCGACGAUCCCCUAGCUGGUCUGAGAGGGAUGACCAGCCACACUGGAACUGAGACACGGUCCAGACUUCUACGGGAGGCAGCAGUGGGGAAUAUUGCACAAUGGGCGCAAGCCUGAUGCAGCCAUGCCGCGGGUGUGAAGACCCCCCUCCCCGUUGUAAAGCACUUUCAGCGGGGAGAAAAAAGAUGAGGUUAAUAACCUCGUCGAUUGACGUUACCCGCAGAAGAAGCACCGGCUAACUCCGUGCCAGCAGCCGCGGUAAUACGGAGGGUGCAAGCGUUAAUCGGAAUUACUGGGCGUAAAGCGCACGCAGGCGGUCUGUCAAGUCGGAUGUGAAAUCCCCGGGCUCAACCUGGGAACUGCAUUCGAAACUGCCAGGCCAGAGUCUUGUAGAGGGGGGUAGAAUUCCAGGUGUAGCGGUGAAAUGCGUAGAGAUCUGGAGGAAUAAAGGUGGCGAAGGCGGCUUCCUGGACAAAGAAUGACGCUCAGGUGUGAAAUCGUGGGGGGCAAACAGGAUUAGAUACCUGGUUAGUUUUCGCCCCCAUCGACCCCGAUUUGGAGGUUGUGCCCUUGAGGCGUGGCUUCCGGCGCUAACGCGUACCGUGGCCUGUAGGGAGAGCCAGGCCGAAGGGUUAAACCUCACAUGAAUUGACGGGGGCCCGCACAAGCGGUGGAGCAUGUGGUUUAAUUCGAUGCAACGCGAAGAACCUUACCUGGUCUUGACAUCCACAGAACUUUCCAGAGAUGGAUUGGUGCCUUCGGGAACUGUGAGACAGGUGCUGCAUGGCUUCGGUCAGCUCGUGUUGUGAAAUGUUGGGUUAAGUCCCGCAACGAGCGCAACCCUUAUCCUUUGUUGCCAGCGGUCCGGCCGGGAACUCAAAGGAGACU